UCAGCUAUUUUCAAAUUUCAAAUUUACUUCUUUAUGGAUAAGCAUUGGUAAAAGUAUAGACGACUUUAAUAGUAUAUCUUGCAAAGUUUCAGGCUGUGUCCUUUAAAUAUUCAAUACAAAAACAGCAGUGCACAAAUAUCAUAUUCUCCUCUGCUAAUUGUUAGCGAAUUGUCAAUAAGCUCUGGUAAUCCAAUUGAUCGAAGGAGUGGCGUUGGAAAUGGGCACAUGAUGAGUGCGAUUGUGGUUUUAGUAAGUCUAGUACCGCUGUCGCAAAUGACUCCGAAAAGUCACAUGAUGUGUAAAUGUGAGUUCGCUUUAGUACCGCGAUAGGUGUCUCAUAUGACCCAAUCAUUCUUGCUGUCGAUCCUAAUUAUUGGGCCACGUCAGAAUUUUUAAUCCUUACGAAACUUAUAAGGCUUGAGCAGAUAAUCCGAGCUGAAUUUGAAUCUGUGCUUAAAGUAUGAUUAUCUAAGACGAAUUUAUAAAAGAUAUUAUCGCUAAGCUACACAGUUUUAUUGCGCUGACUAAUUGCAAUUACAAACAAUAACCUUUCGCAUGACAGUGAGUUGCUAUUUGAUUGAAGUAGCUUAUUCGGUUAUUUAACAACAGUUUUCGUAGCAUAAAACAAAUUGUAUAAUU